UGCUUUCAUCGGUGGUCAAGGUCUCCGUCGGUUUGAAUCAGCAAUACAGGCAGCGCGCAGCUCCGAUCAUAACUGGCCAAUUCGCGCGGGUCCAUCUGUCGGUACUUCUAGUUCCGACCAGAUCUGGUUCCCACAAGUUCGGAUUUCGGAGGCACUCCGGCGAAGCUACCACGCAGGAAAAGAGACUUGGUCUACAAGCAUAACCC
rnacentral:lncRNA from 1 species